rnacentral:rRNA from 1 species
UGGAGCCGUAGCGAAAGCGAGUCUGAAUAGGGCGUGCAGUACAGCGGGGCAGACGCGAAACCAAGUGAUCUAUCCAUGGUCAGGGUGAAGCGGUGGUAAGACACCGUGGAGGCCCGAACCGGUUGACGUUGAAAAGUCUUCGGAUGAACUGUGGAUAGGGGUGAAAGGCCAAUCAAACUUGGAGAUAGCUCGUACUCCCCGAAAUAUAUUUAGGUAUAGCGUCUGGUUUUGUCUUGCUGGAGGUAGAGCACUGAUUAGGCUAGGGCCCUUCACCGGGUACCAAACCUAGACAAACUCCGAAUACCAGUUAAGAGCCACCAGGCAGUCAGUGGCAGGGUGAUAACGUCCUGUCGCGAGAGGGGAACAACCCAGACCACCAGCUAAGGCCCCUAAAUACAGGCUAAGUUGAUCAAAGAAAGUUGAGUUGCUCAGACAACUAGGAGGUUGGCUUAGAAGCAGCCAUUCCUUUAAAGAGUGCGUAAUAGCUCACUAGUCAAGCGACUCGGCGUCGAUAAUAAGCGGGCAUAAGUCUGUUGCCGAAGCUGUGGGAUUGAAAAAUCGGUAGGGGAGCAUUCCAGUUGCGCAGAAGCUGGCUCGUAAGGGCUUGUGGAGCGGCUGGAAGCGAAAAUGUAGGCAUGAGUAACGAUAAGACGGGUGAAAAACCCGUCCACCGUAAACCCAAGGGUUCCUGAUCAACGCUAAUCGGAUCAGGGUUAGUCGAGACCUAAGGUGUACCCGGUGAUGCCGGGGAAGCCGAUGGCAAAGCGGUUAAAUAUUCCGCUACCACGACCAACGCGUGGCUAAGGCGUGACGCAGAAGUGACACUCCCGCGUGCUGACGAAUGCACGUUAAAGGGCGUAGGCCGGAGAGUAGGCAAAUCCGCUCUCCAUUAAGGCUGAAACCUGACAGUACCCGGAUUCUCACGAUGAAGGGAUAGUGGAGGUAAUCAUGCUCCCAAGAAAAGCGUCGUAGUUUGUUGGAAGUGCUCGUACCCCAAACCGACACAGGUGGGUGAGGAGAGUAUCCUCAGGUGCUCGAGUAAUUCAUGGCUAAGGAACUAGGCAAAUUAGAUCCGUAACUUCGGGAGAAGGAUCCCCAUCCUAUGGAUGGGCGCAGUGAAAAGGCCCAAGCGACUGUUUACCAAAAACACAUGUCUCUGCUAAGCCGUAAGGCGAUGUAUAGGGACUGACACCUGCCCGGUGCUGGAAGGUUAAGGAAGGGGGUUAGCUUCGGCGAAGCUCUUAACUGAAGCCCCAGUAAACGGCGGCCGUAACUAUAACGGUCC